rnacentral:tRNA from 1 species
ACUUUCGUGGUGUAACGGUAGCACACUCGGCUCGUAUUCGAGAGGUCCAGGGGUCGAGUGUCUGUGAGGGCA